rnacentral:tRNA from 1 species
AGGGGCAGUAGCUUAAUGGCAAAGCUUCCGGUUGUGGCCCUGACGACGCAGGUUCGAUUCCUGCCUGCCCCUU